CAAAAACACAGCUCUCUGCGAAGCCGUAAGGCGAAGUAUAGGGGGUGACACCUGCCCGGUGCUGGAAGGUUAAGGAGAGGGGUUAGCGUAAGCGAAGCUCUGAACUGAAGCCCCAGUAAACGGCGGCCGUAACUAUAACGGUCCUAAGGUAGCGAAAUUCCUUGUCGGGUAAGUUCCGACCCGCACGAAAGGUGUAACGAUUUGGGCACUGUCUCAACCAGAGACUCGGUGAAAUUAUAGUACCUGUGAAGAUGCAGGUUACCCGCGACAGGACGGAAAGACCCCGUGGAGCUUUACUGUAGCCUGAUAUUGAAUUUUGGUACAGUUUGUACAGGAUAGGCGGGAGCCUUUGAAACCGGAGCGCUAGCUUCGGUGGAGGCGCUGGUGGGAUACCGCCCUGACUGUAUUGAAAUUCUAACCUACGGGUCUUAUCGACCCGGGAGACAGUGUCAGGUGGGCAGUUUGACUGGGGCGGUCGCCUCCUAAAGUGUAACGGAGGCGCCCAAAGGUUCCCUCAGAAUGGUUGGAAAUCAUUCGUAGAGUGCAAAGGCAUAAGGGAGCUUGACUGCGAGACCUACAAGUCGAGCAGGGACGAAAGUCGGGCUUAGUGAUCCGGUGGUUCCGCAUGGAAGGGCCAUCGCUCAACGGAUAAAAGCUACCCCGGGGAUAACAGGCUUAUCUCCCCCAAGAGUCCACAUCGACGGGGAGGUUUGGCACCUCGAUGUCGGCUCAUCGCAUCCUGGGGCUGUAGUCGGUCCCAAGGGUUGGGCUGUUCGCCCAUUAAAGCGGUACGCGAGCUGGGUUCAGAACGUCGUGAGACAGUUCGGUCCCUAUCCGUCGUGGGCGUAGGAAAUUUGAGAGGAGCUGUCCUUAGUACGAGAGGACCGGGAUGGACGCACCGCUGGUGUACCAGUUGUUCUGCCAAGGGCAUAGCUGGGUAGCUAUGUGCGGAAGGGAUAAGUGCUGAAAGCAUCUAAGCAUGAAGCCCCCCUCAAGAUGAGAUUUCCCAUAGCGUAAGCUAGUAAGAUCCCUGAAAGAUGAUCAGGUUGAUAGGUUCGAGGUGGAAGCAUGGUGACAUGUGGAGCUGACGAAUACUAAUAGAUCGAGGACUUAACCAU
rnacentral:rRNA from 1 species